rnacentral:rRNA from 1 species
AACGAACGCUCGCGGCAUGCCUAACACAUGCAAGUCGAACGAGACCUUCGGGUCUAGUGGCGCACGGGUGCGUAACGCGUGGGAACCUGCCCUUAGGUUCGGAAUAGCUCCCCGAAAGGGGUGCUAAUACCGGAUAAUGUCUUCGGACCAAAGAUUUAUCGCCUUUGGAUGGGCCCGCGUUGGAUUAGCUAGUUGGUAGGGUAAAAGCCUACCAAGGCGACGAUCCAUAGCUGGUCUGAGAGGAUGAUCAGCCACACUGGGACUGAGACACGGCCCAGACUCCUACGGGAGGCAGCAGUGGGGAAUAUUGGACAAUGGGCGAAAGCCUGAUCCAGCAAUGCCGCGUGAGUGAUGAAGGCCUUAGGGUUGUAAAGCUCUUUUACCCGGGAUGAUAAUGACAGUACCGGGAGAAUAAGCUCCGGCUAACUCCGUG